GUACAACUUUCAGCAUGGAUGUC
rnacentral:rRNA from 1 species